rnacentral:rRNA from 1 species
CCUACGGGAGGCAGCAGUGAGGAAUAUUGGUCAAUGGACGAGAGUCUGAACCAGCCAAGUAGCGUGAAGGAUGACUGCCCUAUGGGUUGUAAACUUCUUUUAUAUGGGAAUAAAAUGUUCCACGUGUGGGAUUUUGUAUGUACCAUAUGAAUAAGGAUCGGCUAAAGCCGUGCCAGCAGCCGCGGUAAUACGGAGGAUCCGAGCGUUAUCCGGAUUUAUUGGGUUUAAAGGGAGCGUAGGUGGAUUGUUAAGUCAGUUGUGAAAGUUUGCGGCUCAACCGUAAAAUUGCAGUUGAAACUGGCAGUCUUGAGUACAGUAGAGGUGAGCGGAAUUCGUGGUGUAGCGGUGAAAUGCUUAGAUAUCACGAAGAACUCCGAUUGCGAAGGCAGUUCACUGGACUGCAACUGACACUGAGGCUCGAAAGUGUGGGUAUCAAACAGGAUUAGAUACCCGGGUAGUC